rnacentral:rRNA from 1 species
CCCUUAGUAACGGCGAGCGAAAAGGGAAGAGUCCAGCGCCAAGUCUUGACGCCAAAGCGUUCAAGAGAUGCGGCGUUAAUGUAUUAUCGCAUCGUACAUUGUUACCUGUUUCAAGUUCCCUUGACAGGGACAUCCAUAGCGGGUGCUAGGCCCAUAGAGGCAGGAAACCAGUGUGCGCAGAUAAUGCAUUCUAGAGUCAGGUUGCUUGAGAGUGCAGCUUAAAGUGGGUGGUAAACUCCAUCUAAGGCUAAAUAUGACAGCGAGACCGAUAGCAAACAAGUACCGUGAGGGAAAGUUGCAAAGCACUUUGAAGAGAGAGUUCAACAGUACGUGAAACCACUGGGAGGCAAACAGAUGGAACCACGAAGUUGCGCCUCGCUCGAUUCAAUCAUUGAUACUGGUUACCGGUUCUUGUGUGGAUCUUUUCGGAGAUUAGCAAGUGUCGUGGAACUUGUAUCAAUGGUGCAUUUCGUGUGAGGAUGCUAAGCCACGUUCGAUUAGAGUUGGGACGGCCGUAGGACAGAAUUCGAGGAAGGUGACCGGAAAGUGCUUGCAUUUUUCGGUGUUAUAGCCUUGAAUUGGUACCGUCGCCUAACAAACUGAUCGAUAGAAAUUCUCCUUAGGAGUUAAACUGUGUCUGCCUGUGACCAUUAGUCAACCUUUCGAAGUGUUCUUUACGUAUCUUUGGUGCGGAAAGGCAUUUCAACAAUGUUGGUUAGUGGUUGCUUGCGUGACAUGGUGGAACUGUGGCGCGAGUAGGUCGGUUUCCCUCUGACCC